GGAAUAUAUUCUUCAUUAUAUAAUGUUUUAUUCAUUUAUUGAUUUUGAACUGGUUUUGAAAAGCAGUCACAAUGAAGGUAUUGAUUAAAAAACAAUUGGCACCAUCCAGGAAGCUGGCAGAUUUUGAAGUAGAUGUUGGCAUUAAAAUACAGAAGACAAUCCAGAGAGGAACGUAACACUGAGAAAACAGGCGGAACCUGAGGAAACAAAAUAUAUAGAGAGGAAAAUUUUAAACAUAGGGAGGGGAGAAAGAUAGAAACAUAAAUUAUAGGAGCAGGUCUACCAACAUCUACUGGGAGAAAACCAAAGACAUGGUUCAAAUAAGACUAAGAGCUAGUCCAGAAGACAAUCAGUGAUAAAGAAAGACUAACAGUUAGUCUAGAGAAGGUAAUCAGCGAUAGAGGAAAACUAGUAGGUAGCCCAGAGAAAUAAGCCAGAUAUAGAAGGUUAGGAGCUAAUCCAGAAAAGGUCAUCAGUGAUAGAAGAAGACUAUUAGCUGGUCCAGAGAAGGUAAUCAGUGAUAGAGAAAGACUAGUGGUGAAUCCACAAAAGGUCAUUUGUGAUAGAAGUUAGUGCAAAUAAGCAAUCAGUGAUAGAAGAAGGCUAGCAACUAAAGCAAGUCCAUAGAUAAAGGAGGGAGGUCAGGCAUUUUUCAAGAGAAGACACAUAUUGUGUGAGAGAGAUAGACAAAGGGUCUGAUCCAGACGAGGCACUCAUAUGAUUGACUAAAAUUGAGAGUUGGCGCAAAUAAAGUGUAUGUAGUGUUAAAGGGAGACAAAGGGGAGAAUCGAAGGGACAGACAGACUGAGAUAAGGAAGUAAAAAAAACAAAAAACUGGGAACUUGUUAAAAUCUGAAGGAACACAGGAGGAGAUUGAACAUCAACACAACUACUUUGAAGGAGAUCAAGAUAUUAACCUCUAAUCCAAAAAGGGACAAGAAAUAUAUCAGAAGGAGACACAGC